rnacentral:rRNA from 1 species
GACGAACGCUGGCGGCGUGCCUAAUACAUGCAAGUAGAACGCUGAAGAGAGGAGCUUGCUCUUCUUGGAUGAGUUGCGAACGGGUGAGUAACGCGUAGGUAACCUGCCUGGUAGCGGGGGAUAACUAUUGGAAACGAUAGCUAAUACCGCAUAAAAUUGAUUAUCGCAUGAUAAUCAAUUGAAAGGUGCAAAUGCAUCACUACCAGAUGGACCUGCGUUGUAUUAGCUAGUUGGUGGGGUAACGGCUCACCAAGGCGACGAUACAUAGCCGACCUGAGAGGGUGAUCGGCCACACUGGGACUGAGACACGGCCCAGACUCCUACGGGAGGCAGCAGUAGGGAAUCUUCGGCAAUGGACGGAAGUCUGACCGAGCAACGCCGCGUGAGUGAAGAAGGUUUUCGGAUCGUAAAGCUCUGUUGUAAGAGAAGAACGAGUGUGAGAGUGGAAAGUUCAC